rnacentral:rRNA from 1 species
GAUGAACGCUGGCGGCGUGCCUAAUACAUGCAAGUCGAGCGAACAGACGAGGAGCUUGCUCCUCUGACGUUGGCGGCGGACGGGUGAGUAACACGUGGAUAACCUACCUAUAAGACUGGGAUAACUUCGGGAAACCGGAGCUAAUACCGGAUAAUAUAUUGAACCGCAUGGUUCAAUAGUGAAAGACGGUUUUGCUGUCACUUAUAGAUGUAUCCGCGCCGCAUUAGCUAGUUGGUAAGGUAACGGCUUACCAAGGCAACGAUGCGUAGCCGACCUGAGAGGGGGAUCGGCCAAACUGGAACUGAGACACGGUCCAGACUCCUACGGGAGGCAGCAGUAGGGAAUCUUACGCAAUGGGCGAAAGCUUGAAGGAGCAACGCCGCGUGAGUGAUGAAGGUCUUCGGAUCGUAAAACUCUGUUAUUAGGGAAGAACAAAUGGGUAAGUAACUAUGCACGUCUUGACGGUACCUAAUCAGAAAGCCACGGCUAACUACGU